AUACGGAGGGGGCUAGCGUUGUUCGGAAUUACUGGGCGUAAAGCGUCCGCAGGCGGAUAAUUAAGUUAGAGGUGAAAUCCCAGGGCUCAACCCUGGAACUGCCUUUAAAACUGGUUAUCUAGAGUUAUGGAGAGGUAAGUGGAAUUCCUAGUGUAGAGGUGAAAUUCGUAGAUAUUAGGAGGAACACCAGAGGCGAAGGCGGCUUACUGGACAUAUACUGACGCUGAGGGACGAAAGUGUGGGGAGCGAACGGGAUUAGAUACCCCAGUAGUCC
rnacentral:rRNA from 1 species